AAAAAUUUAGUUAAGUUAUAACAUUAAUUUGUCAAAUUAAAGUAAUCUAUUAGAUAAUUUUUA
rnacentral:tRNA from 1 species